UGGGAGCUUCGGAGUGGCAUAUACUGUAUAGCUCGACAGAGAAAGAGAAAAAUUGUUAGUUAGGACUCUAGCUGCUGCGUUCUGGACUAACUGGAGCUUGUUUAUACUCCUACUGGAACAUCCAGACAGUAAAGCAUUACAAUAAUCCAACCUAGAGAUCUCAUCCCAUCUUUGGUGCUUCUGCUCUAGUAUCAUCAAUAUCACCUGAU